rnacentral:rRNA from 1 species
CCUACGGGAGACAGCAGUAAGGAAUAUUGCUCAAUGGGGGAAACCCUGAAGCAGCAACGCAGCGUGGAGGAUGAAGGUUUUAGGAUUGUAAACUCCUUUUGUGAGAGAAGAUAAUGACGGUAUCUCACGAAUAAUCACCGGCUAACUCCGUGCCAGCAGCCGCGGUACUACGGAGGGUGCAAGCGUUACUCGGAAUCACUGGGCGUAAGGGGUGCGCAGGCGGGCUUGUAAGUCAGUUGUGAAAUCUUGUAGCUUAACUAAAGAACUGCAAUUGAAACUAGGAGUCUAGAGUGUGGGAGAGGUAGGUGGAAUUCGUGGUGUAGGGGUAAAAUCCGUAGAUAUCAAGAGGAAUACUCAUUGCGAAGGCGACCUACUGGAACAUUACUGACGCUCAUGCACGAAAGCGUGGGGAGCAAACAGGAUUAGAUACCCCGGUAGUC